rnacentral:rRNA from 1 species
UACGUAGGUGGCGAGCGUUGUCCGGAAUUACUGGGUGUAAAGCGCGUGUAGGCGGGAGGCCAAGUCUGUGGUGAAAUCCCUCGGCUUAACCGAGGAACUGCCCUCAAACUGUUUGGCUUGAGACCGGGAGAGGUGAGUGGAAUUCCCAGUGUAGCGGUGAAAUGCGUAGAUAUUGGGGAGGAACACCAGUGGCGAAGGCGGCUCACUGGACCGGUACUGACGCUGAGGCGCGAAAGCGUGGGGAGCAAACGGGG